GACGAACGCUGGCGGCGUGCUUAACACAUGCAAGUCGAACGGAAAGGCCCUGCUUUUGUGGGGUGCUCGAGUGGCGAACGGGUGAGUAACACGUGAGUAACCUGCCCUUGACUUUGGGAUAACGUCAGGAAACUGGGGCUAAUACCGGAUAGGAGCUCCUGCUGCAUGGUGGGGGUUGGAAAGUUUCGGCGGUUGGGGAUGGACUCGCGGCUUAUCAGCUUGUUGGUGGGGUAGUGGCUUACCAAGGCUUUGACGGGUAGCCGGCCUGAGAGGGUGACCGGCCACAUUGGGACUGAGAUACGGCCCAGACUCCUACGGGAGGCAGCAGUGUGGAAUAUUGCACAAUGGGCGGAAGCCUGAUGCAGCAACGCCGCGUGCGGGAUUACGGCCUUCGGGUUGUAAACCGCUUUCGCCUGUGACUAAGCGUGAGUGACGGUAAUGGGUAAAGAAGCACCGGCUAACUACGUG
rnacentral:rRNA from 1 species